UAUUUAUUAUUAUUUGUUAAUGCAAAAAAUCCUCGUAAAGUAUGACAUGACUUUCAUGACAGAUGUUUUCAAGUACAUUUUCUAUGCUGGUAAUGUGAGUAAAUACCAGGUAAUACACAUUAUACUCUAACUCGGCUAAGACUGGAUUCACGAUGACAACCGGUAAUUUUUAUUUUUGUUUUUUUAAUCUUAUUUACGGUACAUACCAGGCAAGCUGAGCGAGCAAUGGAGAUAUAGUGGAGUUUAAGUUUAACAGAGGUAUUAAAUCCUUUGGUGUACAUAUACAGGUCUAGCUGGAUUUCUCGUCGUCUAAACGUCUAGUCUAACAAUCUAUCUCAGGGACACUAGAACGAGAUACCAGCACAGCAAACAGAGUUAAGAGAUAAUGAUAUGCAAACAGAGCCCAUACUCACAGCACAUCACAUUUUAUUCUAUCCAAUAAUCAUUUCACCGGAUAAAUAUUUUUACUGUUAUUAAUUUUAUUUAAUUGAAUAAAUAUUUAAAUGCCGCUCUGUACUAUUUUUUACUACCAACUAUUUUAUUUUUUAUUUUUACAAUAAUUACUGUACUGAACCGUUCGACACUAUUUAUUCGUACGGUAUAUUAUAAUAGAUAAGUGUGUAGAAUGUGCUUGUCACGCCAAAGCGAUAAUA